rnacentral:lncRNA from 1 species
AAUGAGGGCAUAGCAAUGGAGUGGUGACUGACUAUCCAGUGCGCAUACUCCUUCCCUGCCUGGACCCUCUACUCUCCAUCCCUGUGACUCUCCUCAUCUGUCCAUCCCUCCCUCUCCCAGGUCAAGGUAAGCACCACUCUUUCCUAUUCAGAACGGGACUUUAUCUAGCUUCCUCUAAUUUCCGACGUCUGAUGAAUUACAACCCUGGAUAAGUUUACACCAUAUUGCAGUUUUCUAAUCAAUCUCAGGUCAGAGAUAUUCAAGACAGUUGGCAUUGCAUACAGCCCAGUGAUCCUGAGAAGCUCUCUUCCCUUUUUCCUCCUUGGCUGCUGUUCAAAGACGCCUGCUUGCCUGGCCCUUCUUCCUCCAUGCAGA